UCCGGAUNUAGCUCAGUCGGUAGAGCAGGGGACUGAAAAUCCCCGUGUCGGUGGUUCGAUUCCGCCUCUGGGC
rnacentral:tRNA from 1 species